rnacentral:rRNA from 1 species
AUUGAACGCUGGCGGCAUGCUUUACACAUGCAAGUCGAACGGUAACAGGCCGCAAGGUGCUGACGAGUGGCGAACGGGUGAGUAAUGCAUCGGAACGUGCCCAGUCGUGGGGGAUAACUACUCGAAAGAGUAGCUAAUACCGCAUACGAUCUAUGGAUGAAAGCGGGGGACCGUAAGGCCUCGCGCGAUUGGAGCGGCCGAUGUCAGAUUAGGUAGUUGGUGGGGUAAAGGCUCACCAAGCCAACGAUCUGUAGCUGGUCUGAGAGGACGACCAGCCACACUGGGACUGAGACACGGCCCAGACUCCUACGGGAGGCAGCAGUGGGGAAUUUGGACAAUGGGCGCAAGCCUGAUCCAGCAAUGCCGCGUGCAGGAAGAAGGCCUUCGGGUUGUAAACUGCUUUUGUACGGAACGAAACGGCUCUGGUUAAUACCCGGGGCUAAUGACGGUACCGUAAGAAUAAGCACCGGCUAACUACGUG